rnacentral:rRNA from 1 species
GACGAACGCUGGCGGCGUGCUUAACACAUGCAAGUCGAACGGAAAGGCCCUGCUUUUGUGGGGUGCUCGAGUGGCGAACGGGUGAGUAACACGUGAGUAACCUGCCCUUGAAUUUGGGAUAACUUCAGGAAACUGGGGCUAAUACAGGAUAGGAGCUCCUGCUGCAUGGGGGGGGUUGGAAAGUUUCGGCGGUUGGGGAUGGACUCGCGGCUUAUCAGCUUGUUGGUGGGGUAGUGGCUUACCAAGGCUUUGACGGGUAGCCGGCCUGAGAGGGUGACCGGCCACAUUGGGACUGAGAUACGGCCCAGACUCCUACGGGAGGCAGCAGUGGGGAAUAUUGCACAAUGGGCGGAAGCCUGAUGCAGCAACGCCGCGUGCGGGAUGACGGCCUUCGGGUUGUAAACCGCUUUCGCCUGUGACGAAGCGUGAGUGACGGUAAUGGGUAAAGAAGCACCGGCUAACUACGUG